rnacentral:rRNA from 1 species
UGAGUCCUGUUAACUGAAUACAUAGGUUAACAGAGCAAACCGGGGGAACUGAAACAUCUAAGUACCCCGAGGAGAAGAAAUCAACCGAGAUUCCGGUAGUAGCGGCGAGCGAACCUGGAUUAGCCCUUAAGCACUCGGUGAAGUAGGUGAACAAGCUGGAAAGCUUGGCGAUACAGGGUGAUAGCCCCGUAACCGACGCUUCAUCGAGCGUGAAAUCGAGUAGGGCGGGACACGUGAUAUCCUGUCUGAAUAUGGGGGGACCAUCCUCCAAGGCUAAAUACUCCUGACUGACCGAUAGUGAACCAGUACCGUGAGGGAAAGGCGAAAAGAACCCCUGUGAGGGGAGUGAAAUAGAACCUGAAACCGUGUACGUACAAGCAGUAGGAGCACCUUCGUGGUGUGACUGCGUACCUUUUGUAUAAUGGGUCAGCGACUUAUAUUCAGUGGCAAGGUUAACCGUAUAGGGGAGCCGUAGCGAAAGCGAGUCUUAACUGGGCGCUCAGUCUCUGGAUAUAGACCCGAAACCGGGUGAUCUAGCCAUGGGCAGGUUGAAGGUUGAGUAACAUCAACUGGAGGACCGAACCGACUAAUGUUGAAAAAUUAGCGGAUGACUUGUGGCUAGGGGUGAAAGGCCAAUCAAACUCGGAGAUAGCUGGUUCUCCCCGAAAGCUAUUUAGGUAGCGCCUCGGACGAAUACUACUGGGGGUAGAGCACUGUUAAGGCUAGGGGGUCAUCCCGACUUACCAACCCUUUGCAAACUCCGAAUACCAGUAAGUACUAUCCGGGAGACACACGGCGGGUGCUAACGUCCGUCGUGGAGAGGGAAACAACCCAGACCGCCAGCUAAGGUCCCAAAGUAUUGCUAAGUGGGAAACGAUGUGGGAAGGCUCAGACAGCUAGGAUGUUGGCUUAGAAGCAGCCAUCAUUUAAAGAAAGCGUAAUAGCUCACUAGUCGAGUCGGCCUGCGCGGAAGAUGUAACGGGGCUAAGCAAUACACCGAAGCUGCGGCAAUAUCUUUUAGAUAUUGGGUAGGGGAGCGUUCUGUAAGCCGUUGAAGGUGAAUCGUAAGGUUUGCUGGAGGUAUCAGAAGUGCGAAUGCUGACAUGAGUAACGACAAAGGGGGUGAAAAACCUCCUCGCCGGAAGACCAAGGGUUCCUGUCCAACGUUAAUCGGGGCAGGGUGAGUCGACCCCUAAGGUGAGGCCGAAAGGCGUAAUCGAUGGGAAACGGGUUAAUAUUCCCGUACUUCUGACUAUUGCGAUGGGGGGACGGAGAAGGCUAGGUGGGCCAGGCGACGGUUGUCCUGGUUCAAGUGCGUAGGCUUGAGAGUUAGGUAAAUCCGGCUCUCUCUAAGGCUGAGACACGACGUCGAGCUGCUACGGCAGUGAAGUCAUUGAUGCCAUGCUUCCAGGAAAAGCCUCUAAGCUUCAGAUAGUCAGGAAUCGUACCCCAAACCGACACAGGUGGUCGGGUAGAGAAUACCAAGGCGCUUGAGAGAACUCGGGUGAAGGAACUAGGCAAAAUGGUACCGUAACUUCGGGAGAAGGUACGCUCUUGAUGGUGAAGUCCCUCGCGGAUGGAGCUGACGAGAGUCGCAGAUACCAGGUGGCUGCAACUGUUUAUUAAAAACACAGCACUGUGCAAAAUCGCAAGAUGACGUAUACGGUGUGACGCCUGCCCGGUGCCGGAAGGUUAAUUGAUGGGGUUAGCGCAAGCGAAGCUCUUGAUCGAAGCCCCGGUAAACGGCGGCCGUAACUAUAACGGUCCUAAGGUAGCGAAAUUCCUUGUCGGGUAAGUUCCGACCUGCACGAAUGGCGUAAUGAUGGCCACGCUGUCUCCACCCGAGACUCAGUGAAAUUGAAAUCGCUGUGAAGAUGCAGUGUACCCGCGGCUAGACGGAAAGACCCCGUGAACCUUUACUACAGCUUGGCACUGAACAUUGAACCUACAUGUGUAGGAUAGGUGGGAGGCUAUGAAGACGUGACGCCAGUUGCGUUGGAGCCGUCCUUGAAAUACCACCCUUGUAUGUUUGAUGUUCUAACUUAGACCCAUUAUCUGGGUUGAGGACAGUGCCUGGUGGGUAGUUUGACUGGGGCGGUCUCCUCCCAAAGAGUAACGGAGGAGCACGAAGGUGGGCUAAUCACGGUUGGACAUCGUGAGGUUAGUGCAAUGGCAUAAGCCCGCUUAACUGCGAGAAUGACGGUUCGAGCAGGUGCGAAAGCAGGUCAUAGUGAUCCGGUGGUUCUGUAUGGAAGGGCCAUCGCUCAACGGAUAAAAGGUACUCCGGGGAUAACAGGCUGAUACCGCCCAAGAGUUCAUAUCGACGGCGGUGUUUGGCACCUCGAUGUCGGCUCAUCACAUCCUGGGGCUGAAGUCGGUCCCAAGGGUAUGGCUGUUCGCCAUUUAAAGUGGUACGCGAGCUGGGUUUAGAACGUCGUGAGACAGUUCGGUCCCUAUCUGCCGUGGGCGUUGGAAGAUUGAAGGGGGCUGCUCCUAGUACGAGAGGACCGGAGUGGACGAACCUCUGGUGUUCGGGUUGUGUCGCCAGACGCAUUGCCCGGUAGCUAAGUUCGGAAUUGAUAAGCGCUGAAAGCAUCUAAGCGCGAAGCGAGCCCUGAGAUGAGUCUUCCCUGAUACUUUAAGUAUCCUAAAGGGUUGUUCGAGACUAGAACGUUGAUAGGCAGGGUGUGUAAGCGUUGUGAGGCGUUGAGCUAACCUGUACUAAUUGCCCGUGAGGCUUAACCA